GCAAUAGUUGUUGCUUUCUCUUCAAGCAGUGAGUCUAAAUUAUACUUCAGGCAUAUGAAGAAUGAUUUUGGUCCAUGUCAACCCUCUGGAACUAAUCUGCAGUUUUCUGUUGCAUUUUUCCUGUCCUGAAAGGCAGCAAGGGUUUUCCAACACUUCUAGAAGGAGCUACGGAGAAAGACAUUGAACAACUAUGAACGAAUUGGACUGACACUAACUAUGUGGGCAACCUAAAACUUCCCAGAAUUGACAAAGAAGGUAAAACUCCUUGAGUCUACUUGAUACAACCAGGUAGGUACCUUUUACUUUGAGAGUCAUUUCAUAAG
rnacentral:lncRNA from 1 species